rnacentral:rRNA from 1 species
GCAAGUCGAGGGGUAACAGGAGUGCUUGCACUCGCUGACGACUGGCGCACGGGUGCGUAACGCGUAUAGAACCUACCUUUUACAGAGGGAUAGCCUUUAGAAAUGAAGAUUAAUACCUCAUGGUAUUGCAGAUCGGCAUCGAUCAGUAUUAAAGAUUUAUCGGUAAAAGAUGGCUAUGCGUCCUAUUAGCUAGAUGGUAAGGUAACGGCUUACCAUGGCAACGAUAGGUAGGGGCCCUGAGAGGGGGAUC